rnacentral:rRNA from 1 species
GUAGUCAUAUGCUUGUCUCAAAGACUAAGCCAUGCAUGUCUAAGUAUAAACAAUUAUACAGUGAAACUGCGAACGGCUCAUUAAAUCAGUUAUCGUUUAUUUGAUAGUUUUCUACAUGGAUAACCGUGAUAACUUCAGAACUAAUACAUGACAGCCUUCUGGCGUAUAUAUUAGAUACAAACCAACAGUAUGGUGAUUCAUAAUAUCUUGUCGAACCGAUCUUCGGUGUAUCAUUCAAAUUUCUGCCCUAUCAACUGUCGAUGGUAGGAUCGUGGCCUACCAUGGUAACAACGGGUAACGGGGAAUCAGGGUUCUAUUCCGGAGAGGGAGCCUGAGAAACGGCUACCACAUCCAAGGAAGGCAGCAGGCACGCAAAUUACCCAAUCCUGACACAGGGAGGUAGUGACAAUAUAUAACGAUCCGGGGCUCUUUGAGUUUCGGAAUUGGAAUGAGUACAAUUUAAACACCUUAACGAGGAACAAUUGGAGGGCAAGUCUGGUGCCAGCAGCC